GAUGAACGCUGGCGGCGUGCCUAAUACAUGCAAGUCGAGCGAACAGAUGAGGAGCUUGCUCCUCUGACGUUAGCGGCGGACGGGUGAGUAACACGUGGAUAACCUACCUAUAAGACUGGGAUAACUUCGGGAAACCGGAGCUAAUACCGGAUAAUAUUUUGAACCGCAUGGUUCAAUAGUGAAAGACGGUUUUGCUAUCACUUAUAGAUGGACCCGCGCCGCAUUAGCUAGUUGGUAAGGUAACGGCUUACCAAGGCAACGAUGCGUAGCCGACCUGAGAGGGUGAUCGGCCACACUGGAACUGAGACACGGUCCAGACUCCUACGGGAGGCAGCAGUAGGGAAUCUUCCGCAAUGGGCGAAAGCCUGACGGAGCAACGCCGCGUGAGUGAUGAAGGUCUUCGGAUCGUAAAACUCUGUUAUUAGGGAAGAACAAAUGUGUAAGUAACUAUGCACGUCUUGACGGUACCUAAUCAGAAAGCCACGGCUAACUACGUG
rnacentral:rRNA from 1 species